UAGGGAAUCUUCGGCAAUGGACGAAAGUCUGACCGAGCAACGCCGCGUGAGUGAAGAAGGUUCUCGGAUCGUAAAACUCUGUUGUUUGAGAAGAACAAGGACGUUAGUAACUGAACGUCCCCUGACGGUAUCUAACCAGAAAGCCACGGCUAACUACGUGCCAGCAGCCGCGGUAAUACGUAGGUGGCAAGCGUUGUCCGGAUUUAUUGGGCGUAAAGCGAGCGCAGGAGGUUUCUUAAGUCUGAUGUGAAAGCCCCCGGCUCAACCGAGGAGGGUCAUUGGAAACUGGGAGACUUGAGUGCAGAAGAGGAGAGUGGAAUUACAUGUGUAGCGGUGAAAUGCGUAGAUAUAUGGAGGAACACCAGUGGCGAAGGCGGCUCUCUGGUCUAUAACUGACGCUGAGGCUCGAAAGCGUGGGGAGCAAACAGG
rnacentral:rRNA from 1 species